GCAAACUAGUUGGAGACAUAGGUCUAAGUUUUUAGAGUGCCUAAUUCACCCCUCCCCCUCUUAGGCUAGAGCACCCGAUCCUUUCAACAAGCUUUUAUUUUUCUAAGACCAAAGGCCAGGACAACUCUUAAUGUUGUAUAGUCAAGGGUUGCCACAUCAUUUAAGGAAUUCUCUACUUUGCUUUGACUGGUGUGUAUCACUAGCCUGAAAAAUUUUACGAGAAGUAUAUUUGCAUUCUUUGGUUAAUAAAAUGAAUAACGCUUAUGAUAUUUUCUAAUGAUGUUUAACUGACAAGGGCAGAUAAUGAUAUCAGUGAUGCAGGGUUUUUAUGCUGUUUUGGUCGAUCGCGCUGCUUCCUGACUAUUUGAUGAUAGGAUCCUCAAUCCCAUAAACAAUAAGUUAUACCAAAAUGCAGGACACGUGCUUGGUUUGAAGAGCAUCGCAAGGUGAGAGUUGCUGAAGUGGAAGGGAAAUUGGAGAAUUUGGAAAAAUCUACUGGAGUUAACUCCAAUUUGUUCCUCUUAUCUGAGCAUUUUUGCAUUUUAGUUCAGUUAUUUAUGUUUUGUUCUAAUGGUCGACUUUCCCAGAUACAAUCUAUUAUCUGUGUUUCUUGUUUUUCAUCCAAGCAAGUGAUUGUUUGACACUUCUCCUUCAUCCAAGCAAGUGAUUGUACUUGAUAUUUUAAAAUUGUCAGAUCUACAGUUGGUAAGACAUUUUGAUAUUGCAUUGUUUUGACUAAGAAAUAGAUUGAUUUUGGUGGUUUUGUGUAUUUUCCUUAGAGCUAAACCAGGAUGAGAGCAGUGCCACAUUACUACAUUAGUGAUGUACAAGCGGGUGCCCGUGCAAGCGCUUGCUGCUCUACUUCUUUGUGCUCAAGAUGACGGAACCCAUCUAUGAAUACCAGGAGGCUUCAGUCAGUUACAAAGAACGAGCAUUCAAUAAACAGUUUUUAAAGUUCAAGCUGAGUUUUAUAUUGUAUACCGAUAAGGAACCUGAUAUCCCAUUGCCAUCUUAUUUUCCAGUGUU